UACAGAGGGUGCGAACGUUGCUCGGAAUUACUGGACGUAAAGCGCAUGUAGGCGGAUCCAUAAGUCGGGCGUGAAAUCCCCAGGCUCAACCUGGGAACUGCGCUCGAAACUGUGGGUCUUGAGUGUCGGAGAGGAUGGCGGAAUUCCUGGUGUAGAGGUGAAAUUCGUAGAUAUCAGGAGGAACACCGGUGGCGAAGGCGGCCAUCUGGACGACAACUGACGCUGAGAUGCGAAAGCGUGGGGAGCAAACAGG
rnacentral:rRNA from 1 species